rnacentral:hammerhead_ribozyme from 1 species
AUCCAGCUGACAAGUCAAAAAUAUUACGAAACGCGCGUCCGGGAU